rnacentral:rRNA from 1 species
AGAGUUUGAUCCUGGCUCAGAACGAACGUUAGCGGCGCGCCUAAGACAUGCAAGUCGAGCGAGAAAGGGCUUCGGCCCCGGUACAGCGGCGCACGGGUGAGUAACACGUAGGUAAUCAACCCUCGAGUGGUGGAUAACUCUCCGAAAGGAGAGCUAAUACAGCAUGACGUCAGCAAUGACCAAAGCGGGCCUCUUCAUGAAAGCUCGCGCUAGAGGAUGAGCCUGCGGCCCAUCAGGUAGUUGGCGGAGUAAAAGCCCACCAAGCCAUAGACGGGUAGCUGGUCUGAGAGGAUGAACAGCCACACUGGAACUGAGACACGGUCCAGACUCCUACGGGAGGCAGCAGUCGGGAAUCUUCCGCAAUGGGCGAAAGCCUGACGGAGCGACGCCGCGUGAGUGAUGAAGGCCUUCGGGUUGUAAAGCUCUGUGGGGAGAGAAGAAUAAGGGUGAGCGAAUACCUCAUCUGAUGACGGUAUCUCCUUAGCAAGCACCGGCUAACUCUGUGCCAGCAGCCGCGGUAAGACAGAGGGUGCAAACGUUGUUCGGAUUUACUGGGCGUAAAGCGCGUGUAGGCGGCUUGGCAAGUUGGAUGUGAAAGCCCACGGCUCAACCGUGGAAGAGCAUCCAAAACUGCUUCGCUCGAGUCUCGGAGAGGAAGGUGGAAUGCUUGGUGUAGAGGUGAAAUUCGUAGAUAUCAAGCAGAACACCUGCGGCGAAGGCGGCCUUCUGGACGAUGACUGACGCUGAGACGCGAAAGCGUGGGGAGCAAACAGGAUUAGAUACCCUGGUAGUCCACGCCGUAAACGAUGAGUGCUAGGUGUCACGGGCUUUGACCCUCGUGGUGCCGUAGCUAACGCAAUAAGCACUCCGCCUGGGGAGUACGGCCGCAAGGCUAAAACUCAAAGGAAUUGACGGGGGCCCGCACAAGCGGUGGAGCAUGUGGUUUAAUUCGACACGACGCGCAGAACCUUACCUGGGCUAGAAAACACAGGAACUCGGGUGAAAACUCGGGGUGCCCUUCGGGGAAUCUGUGGUUAGGUGUUGCAUGGCUGUCGUCAGCUCGUGUCGUGAGAUGUUGGGUUAAGUCCCGCAACGAGCGCAACCCUUGCCGUUAGUUGCCAGCAUUAAGUUGGGCACUCUAACGGGACUGCCGACCUUCAAGUCGGAGGAAGGUGGGGAUGACGUCAAGUCCUCAUGGCCCCUAUGUCCAGGGCUACACACGUGCUACAAUGGUCGGUACAAAGGGCUGCGAAACCGCGAGGUGGAGCCAAUCCCAAAAAACCGGCCUCAGUACGGAUUGGAGUCUGCAACUCGACUCCAUGAAGGCGGAAUCGCUAGUAAUCCCUGAUCAGCAUGGCAGGGGUGAAUACGUUCCCGGGCCUUGUACACACCGCCCGUCACACCAUGGGAGUUGAUUGCUCCAGAAGUGGCUGAGCUAACCCGCAAGGGAGGCAGGUCCCCAAGGAGUGAUUGGUAACUGGGGUGAAGUCGUAACAAGGUAGCCGUAGGGGAACCUGCGGCUG